rnacentral:tRNA from 1 species
UGUAGCUCAGAAGUACAGCACAUGCUUAGCAUACAUGAGAUCCUAGGUUCAAUCCCUAGCA